rnacentral:snRNA from 1 species
GUGCUCGCUUCAGCAGCACACAUAUUAAAAUUAGAACAAAGAUUAGAAUGUUCAUAUGUAAGGAUAACAUGCAAAUUUGUGAAACAUUCCAUAUUAUG